GUUGGGUAGGGGAGCGUUCUGUAAGCCUGUGAAGGUGGCCUGUGAGGGUUGCUGGAGGUAUCAGAAGUGCGAAUGCUGACAUAAGUAACGAUAAAGCGGGUGAAAAGCCCGCUCGCCGGAAGACCAAGGGUUCCUGUCCAACGUUAAUCGGGGCAGGGUGAGUCGACCCCUAAGGCGAGGCCGAAAGGCGUAGUCGAUGGGAAACGGGUUAAUAUUCCCGUACUUGGUGUUACUGCGAAGGGGGGACGGAGAAGGCUAUGUUGGCCGGGCGACGGUUGUCCCGGUUUAAGCGUGUAGGUGUGUGUUCCAGGUAAAUCCGGUUCACUUUAACACUGAGGCGUGAUGACGAGGCACUACGGUGCUGAAGCAACAAAUGCCCUGCUUCCAGGAAAAGCCUCUAAGCAUCAGGUAACAUCAAAUCGUACCCCAAACCGACACAGGUGGUCAGGUAGAGAAUACCAAGGCGCUUGAGAGAACUCGGGUGAAGGAACUAGGCAAAAUGGUGCCGUAACUUCGGGAGAAGGCACGCUGACACGUAGGUGAAGUGAUUUACUCAUGGAGCUGAAGUCAGUCGAAGAUACCAGCUGGCUGCAACUGUUUAUUAAAAACACAGCACUGUGCAAACACGAAAGUGGACGUAUACGGUGUGACGCCUGCCCGGUGCCGGAAGGUUAAUUGAUGGGGUCAGCGCAAGCGAAGCUCCUGAUCGAAGCCCCGGUAAACGGCGGCCGUAACUAUAACGGUCCUAAGGUAGCGAAAUUCCUUGUCGGGUAAGUUCCGACCUGCACGAAUGGCGUAAUGAUGGCCAGGCUGUCUCCACCCGAGACUCAGUGAAAUUGAACUCGCUGUGAAGAUGCAGUGUACCCGCGGCAAGACGGAAAGACCCCGUGAACCUUUACUAUAGCUUGACACUGAACAUUGAGCCUUGAUGUGUAGGAUAGGUGGGAGGCUUUGAAG
rnacentral:rRNA from 1 species